ensembl:lncRNA LINC02156 long intergenic non-protein coding RNA 2156
GGACAUGGCUGUCAGCUGGGAAGAGUGAAAUGGGCAAAGACUGCGUCACGGCUGGAAGGGAUCGUGGCAAGGGCACAGGCAGCAGGAAAGCUGACGGAGUCUCGCCCUGUCGCCCAGGCUGGAGUGCAGUGGCGCCAUCUCGGCUCACUGCAAGCUCCGCCUCCCAGGUUCAUGCCGUUCUCCUGCCUCAGCCUCCCGAGUAGCUGGGACUACAGGAAGUGAAACCCACAGGUUCUGUGGCUCUGCAGUGCCCUCUCUAGGAUGCUUUUGUGGAUGUGCAGUGGCUCAAGGUGCAGCAGGUGAUUCUGUAGAAAGGAGUUUCUCCAAUAAAGCAGAGCUUCUCUUUCAACUCCAUGGACAUCAGAGAGAGUCCCUUUCAAAAAAGGAGGCUCAGGUCUGGAGAGACAAAGGCCUCUACUUUCGAAAAGGCCUCUUGGAUCAAGCCCAGACCCUCAUCAGAGCUGACAACAUGUCCAGCCUGCACUACUGCAAGAACUUCUUUGUCUAUGGUAGUGUGGUCAACUGAAGAAGCCGGCUUAGUUGCUCCAGUCAGGUGCUCACACUAAGAAAGGAUGGGUGAAGGUUAUAAAGUGGCUGUGAAUGAGAACUCGGUCUGGGCUCUACCAAGCAGAGAAGCCAUGCAGAGAUGAGAAAGGUGAAAGCCAUGAAACCAUGUUAAGCAGAAAAAUAAAAAUUCAAAACAGAA